UGGGGAAUAUUGGACAAUGGGCGCAAGCCUGAUCCAGCAAUGCCGCGUGUGUGAAGAAGGCCUUAGGGUUGUAAAGCACUUUCAGUGGGGAGGAAGGAGUUGAUGCUAAUAUCAUCAGCUAUUGACGUUACCCACAGAAGAAGCACCGGCUAACUCUGUGCCAGCAGCCGCGGUAAUACAGAGGGUGCAAGCGUUAAUCGGAAUUACUGGGCGUAAAGAGUGCGUAGGUGGUUGGAUAAGUUAGGUGUGAAAUCCCUGGGCUCAACCUAGGAACUGCGCUUAAAACUGUUCGGCUAGAGUAUUGUAGAGGAUAGUGGAAUUUCCAGUGUAGCGGUGAAAUGCGUAGAUAUUGGAAGGAACACCAGUGGCGAAGGCGACUAUCUGGGCAAAUACUGACACUGAGGCACGAAAGCAUGGGGAGCAAACAG
rnacentral:rRNA from 1 species